AGCUCCAAUAGCGUAUAUUAAAGUUGUUGCAGUUAAAAAGCUCGUAGUUGGAUUUCUGGUCGGGGGUUAGGGCGCACUGUCGUGAUGCCCGCGUCUUCGGCCAUCCUUCUGUUAACCCUUCAGGGCGUUCGUUCGUCGGUUGGGGGCUCAGAUAUUUUACCUUGAGAAAAUUAGAGUGUUUCAGGCAGGCUUGUGCCCGGAUACAUUAGCAUGGAAUAAUGGAAUAGGACUUUAGCCUCUUCUGUUGGUCUGAGGGGUUGGAGUAAUGAUUAAUAGGGAUAGUUGGGGGCAUUAGUACUUAACUGUCAGAGGUGAAAUUCUCGGAUUUGUUAAAGACUAACUUAUGCGAAAGCAUUUGCCAAGGAUGUUUUCA
rnacentral:rRNA from 1 species